UCAAAAAUAAUAUGUAAUUCAACAUAUAUAUAUACGGGUAAUUGACAAAGGUGUAUCAACAUGUGAAUAAAUACCAUGAUUAUCCAAGUGGGGACACUUGUAUAACCAUUUAGAAAUUAAUGAACAGAAUAUAUAUUUGAGCUAACAUGUUGAUAAUCAAAGAGUACAUAAUCUGUACAGGAAUAGAAUAAUUCUGAAACUUCUUACUCAUGUCCAUUGCAUAAAGGAAAUGCAAAGGUAGGAUACUUGCCUGAUUCGCUGAUUACAAAUCUCAACUUAGGUUUUAUCUCUUUAUCACAACCUAUCA
rnacentral:lncRNA from 1 species